UUGAAGUUCUAAGGAGCAAGCCAAUUAGGACUCAUUAGUGAAUUUCAAAAUAGAUUUUCUAAGAGAUACUCAAGAAAAUUCAACACAUUAUUCUCCCCCUUUUUCAUUAAAUUAGAGGCUCUUAAGAUCAACUAUUUGAAUUGCAAUUUGGUUCAUGAUUUAUGUAUAAGAUAUAUUAACCAAAUAACAAGCCUCAAGGUGUAUC
rnacentral:lncRNA from 1 species